rnacentral:rRNA from 1 species
UACGUAGGGUGCGAGCGUUAAUCGGAAUUACUGGGCGUAAAGCGUGCGCAGGCGGUGAUGUAAGACCGAUGUGAAAAUCCCCGGGCUUAACCUGGGAACUGCAUUGGUGACUGCAUCGCUCGAGUAUGGCAGAGGGGGGUAGAAUUCCACGUGUAGCAGUGAAAUGCGUAGAGAUGUGGAGGAAUACCGAUGGCGAAGGCAGCCCCCUGGGUCAAUACUGACGCUCAUGCACGAAAGCGUGGGGGAGCAAACAGG